UAAUACGUAGGGGGCAAGCGUUGUUCGGAAUUACUGGGCGUAAAGGGCGCGUAGGCGGCAUGGCAAGUCGGGAGUGAAAGCCCGGGGCUCAACCCCGGAACUGCUUUCGAAACUGCCAAGCUAGAGUACGGAAGGGGCAACUGGAAUUCCCAGUGUAGCGGUGAAAUGCGUAGAUAUUGGGAAGAACACCGGAGGCGAAGGCGGGUUGCUGGGCCGAUACUGACGCUGAGGCGCGAAAGCCAGGGGAGCAAACGGGAUUAGAUACCCCGGUAGUCCUGGCCCUAAACGAUGGAUACUUGGUGUGUGGGGUUCUCAAAGUCCCCGCGUGCCGGAGCUAACGCGUUAAGUAUCCCGCCUGGGGAGUACGGUCGCAAGGCUGAAACUCAAAUGAAUUGACGG
rnacentral:rRNA from 1 species